AAGGGGGGGGGUAUUUUGAGGGUGGAAAGGUAGGAUAAUGAUUAGUGUUUUAAUAGAGGGGUGGUAUGAAUGGUUUGAGGAGGUGUUGAGUGUGUGAUUUAAUUUGAAUUUAAAAUUUAAGUUUUGAGUUAAAAGGGUGAAAUUUUAUUGGAAGAGGAGAAGAGGGUAUAGAGGUUUAUAUUUAUUUUAUUAAUUUAUUUUUGUUUAUUAUUAUUUAUUAUUAUUGUAAGUAUUUUGUUGGGGUGAGAAAAAUAUAUAAUUAAGUUUUUUAUAUGGAAAAGAUUGAUAUAUGGUUAAUAGAUGGAAUGUUAUUGAUUGUUAGAGUAAGUUAGGUUAGGGAUAAGAGGGUAAUGUUGGUGGAGAGUUGAUAUGUAGGGGAAGGGUUGGGAGGUGGAUGUUGGAUUAAGAUAAUAAUUAGGUGUAGGGGGUUAAUAUAUAGGUGUGUUGGAG
rnacentral:rRNA from 1 species